ACAUAAAUACCGACGAAGUCAUCGGCGAGAUAGUAUCAAAGACUGCCAAAGCGAAAUAUUUUGCGUUUAUCAAUUGAUGAGCCUCGUGGAUAAGAGAAGGACACUGUAAUUACCGAUUAUUCAGACUAUACUAAAAAUAAAUAUGUGUAUUCAAAAAAGACAACUGAUAAUUGAUGAUCUUUCUAAUAAUCUUUACACAGAAGAUAAUGAUAAAACAAAUAGAGGAGAAAAACAAGUUGGGAUCGAAUGGACAUGACAAGAAUUACGUAAAGUAGAAUUAAGUUUUUAUUUAAAUAGAGGUUGCUAAUUCAAAGAAAAAAAUUAUCUAUUCUGUUAUAUUUGUAAUUUAAAAAAAUAUAAAAAUAUGUGAAACAUGAACAGAAAAGACAAUUUUUUAGAUUCCUAAGGAGAUUUGCAAGAGAAUACACUUCAAUAUUUAAUUCUAUAAAUAAUCGAUAUUCUAACAAACAAUUCAUUUUUUUUUGUCAUUGCACUGUGACAUUUGUAAAUUUUAUUACAAUUUGCAGAUCUUAUAAACUGAAUAUAUUCAAUUGCACUAAAUUAGCUUUAAUAAUUAAUAGUAAGAACUUGACUAAAUUAGUCACUUAUUGACUUUUCGAUGCAUCUUUUUUAACAUGAUACUCAAAUUAUUUGAAUGACAUGGUUUAUUUUUCAACAAUUCAAAAAUUGAAGACGUGAUGAAGCAAUCUAUAAGUUCCUUGUCACGAUUGUA